GACGAACGCUGGCGGCGUGCCUAAUACAUGCAAGUAGAACGCUGAAGGAGGAGCUUGCUUCUCUGGAUGAGUUGCGAACGGGUGAGUAACGCGUAGGUAACCUGCCUGGUAGCGGGGGAUAACUAUUGGAAACGAUAGCUAAUACCGCAUAAUAUUGACUAUUGCAUGAUAGUCAGUUGAAAGGUGCAACUGCACCACUACCAGAUGGACCCGCGUUGUAUUAGCUAGUUGGUGGGGUAACGGCUCACCAAGGCGACGAUACAUAGCCGACCUGGGAGGUGAUCGGCCACACUGGGACUGAGACACGGCCCAGACUCCUACGGGAGGCAGCAGUAGGGAAUCUUCGGCAAUGGACGGAAGUCUGACCGAGCAACGCCGCGUGAGUGAAGAAGGUUUUCGGAUCGUAAAGCUCUGUUGUAAGAGAAGAACGAGUGUGAGAGUGGAAAGCUCACACUGUGACGGUAUCUUACCAGAAAGGGACGGCUAACUACGUG
rnacentral:rRNA from 1 species